GAUGAAGAACGUAGCGAAAUGCGAUAAGUAGUGUGAAUUGCAGAAUUCAGUGAAUCAUCGAAUCUUUGAACGCACAUUGCGCCCUUUGGUAUUCCAAAGGGCAUGCCUGUUCGAGCGUCAUUUGUACCCUCAAGCUUUGCUUGGUGUUGGGCGUCUUGUCUCUAGCUUUGCUGGAGACUCGCCUUAAAGUAAUUGGCAGCCGGCCUACUGGUUUCGGAGCGCAGCACAAGUCGCACUCUCUAUCAGCACAGGUCUAGCAUCCAUUAAGCCUUUUUUUCAACUUUUGACCUCGGAUCAGGUAGGGAUACCCGCUGAACUUAAGCAUAUCAAUAAGCGGAGGA
rnacentral:misc_RNA from 1 species